UCUGGUUUCCGUGUCCAACAUUUGACCAUCCGUCUUAUUUGAAAAAAUUAUAAAAAAAUUAAAAAGAUAAGUCACGCAUAAAGUAUUAAUCAUGUUUUAUUAUCCAACAACAAUGAAAAUACUAAUUAUAAAAAAAUUUAAUAUAAAACGGACAGUCAAACGUUAGCACGGAAAUUUAAGGUUUGUCUUUUU
rfam:Oryza glaberrima chromosome 5 Oglab05_0126_20, whole genome shotgun sequence.